GUUUCAAAUUGUAUGUAUUAAAAACAUUCUGCAACUUGGAGAUUUCAAAAUGAAAAACAUAGAUGCAAAGGAGAAAGACUGGCCACACCUAAGUGGACAGGUCUUCUUUUCCAUUGGAUCUACAAAAGGUGCACAAGGGUUUAUGAGGACAUUUGAGGAAGGUGUGCACUUUCAAAAAUACUCAUUGUAAAACAAGUCAGCUACAACCUUCCAAAAUUGUUCAAUAAUGAUCCUUCCGCAGGUUCACCUACGGAAA
rnacentral:misc_RNA from 1 species